GGCGUGGGUUGUGUGGCCUCUCCCAGCUCCACGCGUUUCUGGGCGCCGGGCACUAGGCGAGCCGGCCGGGCUGGCGCGAGGCCGCAGGCGGGAAGAGUCCCCGGGGUCGGCCCCGAAGCGGCUCUGGAGGCAGUAGCCGGGGACGCCGAGGUCAGGGAGGAGGCGGAUCCGAGCGCGGUCCCGCAGGGCCCUGUCCGUUCUUCCGCCUCGGCCGGUCCCGUCAGGCCGCCUUUAAAUGCCCGGCGCCUCGCACCUGCUAACAAAACGAGCUCCUGCUGUUCCCCAGCUCCGUAAAUGGUGCCCCUGGCCCUCCCCAGUUCUCAGGCAGAGCCUUGGCGGCCUCCCUGACCCCUAACACCCCGCAUCCAGCCCGGCAGUACAUCCUGUUGGCUGUGCCUUCGAAAUUUCCCCAGACCUGACCUCUUCUCCCACCUCUGCCACCACCCUGCUCCGAGCCGUCUUUUCCCGCCGAGAUGACUGUAGUAGCGUCUCAGCUGGGUCUCCCCGCUUCCACCUUCCCCUCCUGAGUCUCCUCAACACAGGAGCCAGAGCGAUCUCGGAAAGUACAGGAGGUCAUGCCCCAGUGUGGUUCCCCUUUCCUGGGUUUAAGUCAAGGUCCUCACCGUGCCUGCCGGCCUCCCGGGUCUCUGCGCGGUGGACUCUGGACCUCCCUGCCCCGUCCUGCCUCAGGGCCUUUGCACCUGCUGUUACCGCGGCCUGGAACGCUCCUCCCCUGAAACCCUGUGACUCCCACUUAGUGAGGCGACCACCUGUUGAAAACCGUGCCCCCUUCCUAUACAGAUGCUCCUGUCAUAUGGGGUUAGAUUCCCCAUCAACCCAUCAUAGGUUAAAGCAUUGUAAGGCAAUUUACGGUAGGUUUAUCCGGAUGUAACCCCAUCUGUAAGCGGAGGAGUAUACUGAAUGUGUAUGGCGUUUGUACCAUGGCAAAGCCAAAAUGUAAGUCAAACUCGAAGUCCAGGACGGUCUGUGGCCUGUACUCCCUUGCUUUCCCUCCCCGGCUCUUAGCGCCAUCCAGCAUCGUUGAUAAUGUAAUUUGAUGUGUAUUGUCUGAAAGCACCAAGACGGCAGAGUUUCUCUCUUAUCCAGAUCACAGUGUGUGCUCAGUAAACACUAGACUGAGGGGGUGUAUGAGAGGUCUUUUUUUCCUCUCUCCUUCCUCAGGAAUGGGUGAAGAUGAAGUCCUGUAAGGCAGGAGCUGGAUCAAAGAAAUAUCCCGGGUCUUGUCUGUGUGCAGACUGUUGUUUGAGGACUCUGCUCCAGUUCUAGCAGCGAUCGGUGGCUCCCUUGGGUGACUCUCCAGAAGGAAGGGUGCCAGCAUGGACUGGUGUCUGCUUGCCAGAUGCCCUGAACAGCUCAUUCCUCAGGAGGCCAGGGGCGCCUCAGGAAGUGCUGUCAAAUGCAAUCACUCUCAGAACCCUCUGGGCUGAAAGAUGUCAUUGAUUUAUGCUGGCAGCCCCGCGCAGCACUCUGCUAGGUGUUGAAUUGUCUGGAGAACACCUGGUAUCACCCUCAAGGCCCCUUAGUCUGGUAGGAAGGAAUGAUGAGGAAGAGGCUGUGUGGAAGUCACAGAGAAGGAGGAGGGUGGGAUCAGUUUCCAGGGUGGGGUCUCUGGAAGUCCUCUCAGGGGUUCUCAGGGGGGCAUUUCUGCCUAGAGCAGCAGGUGUAAGGCGUGAGCCAUGGACGAAGGGAAGGAGCCAGCCAUCAUUGAUCGCCUCCUCUGUGCUGGAUGUGGCUCUAGAUGUCAAGCUCACAUUUACACAUUAGCCUUCCUUUACAGAGGAGGAAACAGGCUCAGAAAGCCCCUGACCCCGGUUACACCACUACUAAAUGCAGGAUUCAGAUCUUCAGUUGAGCUCUUUGUGGCCGUGAAGCCUGUCCUCUUCCCAGGGCUCGAUGCCACUUCCCAGGCUGGAAGCCAGACAAGCAUCCGGGGCUGCCCGGAAUUGCAUGCAAAUGUCCGGACAGCCGGCUUCCUCGUGGGCCCCGGCACUGGCAGAGGAACUCUUUGCCGGGCAUGUGGCUUGGGCAGGCCAGGGCAGCCAUCUGCCAGCCAGCCAUGUGGGGAGGAGGCUGUAGGCCACCCCACAGCCAGAUGCUUCUGGGCCGGUCCUGGGCUCCCAAAGGUAGUUCCUUCAGGAGAUGGAGUCACCUGGCUCCUCUCUUCCCUUCCACCCAGUUCCAAAGUCAGGGGUUCUGGGGCUGUGUCAGCAAGGGGCCAUUCUGGCACUGUCCUUCUGGCACAGAGCAUUGUGGCCAGGGAUGGACAUCUGUUCUGCAUUGACCCCCAUGGCCAGGACAUCUGUGGCCCCACGGAACUCAGUGACAAGGAGAGUCGGCAGCAGGGAAAGGCCACGCUCUGUAGUGUGUCUGCCAGGUGGCAGAGGAUCCCUGACACAGCCCAGCUGGCAUCUGCCCUUGCCACUGAGGCUUCCUGAGGGCAGUCCCCAAGGGUCCUGCCAUGCCAGGGCUCCCCUUCUGCCAGGCAGUGGCUGCUUAAGCUGAGGGAGGGAGAAGCUGGGAGUUGGCCAUGACUGAUGGUACCAGGCCAGUGGGAUCUGGAGCCCACAGAUGGUGGAGGAUGGGGCACAGCCCCCACCCCUUACCUGUGACGUGCCCUGCCGGCGGGCAGAGGCAUCCGGUCUGCUCUGUAGAAGUUGGAGGUACAGACUGGCAGAGGGAGAAGCGGAAGAGAUAGCAUCAUUUUACAGAAGGGAAAGCUGAGGCCCUGAGCCAGGGGGAUAUGCAUGGAUGCCCCGUGGGCUUUCUCGCGUUUACUCCUCCGCACAGGGCCCUGUUUUUCAAUGGAGGAAUUAGGGCUUGAAGGAAAUGAAGUGAGGUUUCCAGGGUCCCCUGGCUAAGCCAGUUAUUUGGCCCUGACCGGUGCAAAUCUGAGAGGGGGACUAAGCAGGCCCUCAGGCCAGGGUCCGAGCUUGCUCACUCAGCCACAGCAGGGAAGAGUCAGCCUGAGGCAGCAGGCCCAGGAUCGAGGGUGACCCUCCUCCCAGAAGCAAGAUGUGGUGAGGUCCCAGAUGGGCUGGGAAGGUGGCAUGAGGGCUUGCUUCAAGGGAGCCUGCUGGCUGGCCUCCAGUAUCCACCUGGAAACAGCCCCCCAGGUGUGCCCCUCGAGCUGCUAACCCCAAUCUGGCCACCCCCCAACUCGCUCCUCAGCACUCCAGUGGUCAGGGUGUCCCCUUCCCUGGUCCCUCCUUGCCCCUCCUCUUAGCACCAGCAACCGGGGCCUCCAGCAGGCCAGAGAUCUUCCCACAGCCUCCUGGGCUUCCUGCCCAAGGCAGGGGCUGAUCUCUCAAGGGUGGGUGGGACUUCCGGCUGUGCCAUCAGCAGUUCCUGGCUGUAUCAGUUAGCUUUGGCUGUGUAACAAAUCACCCCAAAGCCUAGAGGCUUCACACAACUACCAUCUCUUAUCCCUCACAGAUCCCUGGGUUGCCUGACCAAUUCUGGUGUGAGCUUCCCUGCUCAGGGGACAGCUCCCUGAGCCCAGAGCCCUGACUGCAGAGCUGCCGCCUGCAGCCCUGCAUGCUGUUUCUCACCACACUGUGUCCCCGCCCUUCCAGCCCGUGGAGUCACACUUCGCCACCCAGCCCCCGAGGACACACUCAUGGAACCCCCAGUCAGGCGUCCAGACUAAGCCACCAGGGUGGCUCCUCUCAGCCCCACUCCUGACCAAAGCUUCCUGCCUAUCGAGCGUGGGGACCAACUGCAGGCACCUCCGUCUUCAAUGCCACUCCGGAGGCAGAGGGGAGCCUCCACCUUCCCUGGCAUUGUCACCAUCAACCUUAACAAUAGUUUGACUUGGUUAAGCUCCUCCAAGGGCCGGGGAGGUCGGGCUGGGGCCAGAAGGAGCAGCCUGUACCAGGUAACUGUGACAGCAGACAGCCAAUGGGCAGAAGAGAGGUGUCAACGUCCCCCACUGUCGGGACCAGAGAAGGCGCCAUGGGAUGAGGGAGGGUCUGAUCCCAAGGUAGGAGGAAGUAUCCUGGGUCCCGGGGUCCCUCGAGCAAUCUGCAUUGUAAGGGAGGGUCCCUCUGGGGCCAGGAGAUACAUCAGGAAGUGGCGGAAAGACUGCAUUUGGGGGCCAGAUCUGGAG
rnacentral:lncRNA from 1 species